AUUGAACGCUGGCGGCAGGCCUAACACAUGCAAGUCGAGCGGAUGAAGGGAGCUUGCUCCUGGAUUCAGCGGCGGACGGGUGAGUAAUGCCUAGGAAUCUGCCUGGUAGUGGGGGAUAACGUCCGGAAACGGGCGCUAAUACCGCAUACGUCCUGAGGGAGAAAGUGGGGGAUCUUCGGACCUCACGCUAUCAGAUGAGCCUAGGUCGGAUUAGCUAGUUGGUGGGGUAAAGGCCUACCAAGGCGACGAUCCGUAACUGGUCUGAGAGGAUGAUCAGCCACACUGGAACUGAGACACGGUCCAGACUCCUACGGGAGGCAGCAGUGGGGAAUAUUGGACAAUGGGCGAAAGCCUGAUCCAGCCAUGCCGCGUGUGUGAAGAAGGUCUUCGGAUUGUAAAGCACUUUAAGUUGGGAGGAAGGGCAGUAAGUUAAUACCUUGCUAUUUUGACGUUACCAACAGAAUAAGCACCGGCUAACUUCGUG
rnacentral:rRNA from 1 species